GGUGACGGCCAGCUUGCUGGUCUGAUCAGUGGCGAACGGGUGAGUAACACGUGAGCAACCUGCCCUUCACUCUGGGAUAAGCCUUGGAAACGAGGUCUAAUACCGGAUAUGAGACGCACCGGCAUCGGUAGCGUCUGGAAAGAUUUAUCGGUGAGGGAUGGGCUCGCGGCCUAUCAGCUUGUUGGUGGGGUGAUGGCCUACCAAGGCGACGACGGGUAGCCGGCCUGAGAGGGCGACCGGCCACACUGGGACUGAGACACGGCCCAGACUCCUACGGGAGGCAGCAGUGGGGAAUAUUGCACAAUGGGCGCAAGCCUGAUGCAGCGACGCCGCGUGAGGGAUGACGGCCUUCGGGUUGUAAACCUCUUUCAGCAGGGAAGAAGCGAAAGUGACGGUACCUGCAGAAGAAGCGCCGGCUAACUACGUGCCAGCAGCCGCGGUAAUACGUAGGGCGCAAGCGUUGUCCGGAAUUAUUGGGCGUAAAGAGCUCGUAGGCGGUUUGUCGCGUCUGCUGUGAAAUCCUCAGGCUCAACCUGGGGCUUGCAGUGGGUACGGGCAGACUAGAGUGCGGUAGGGGUGACUGGAAUUCCUGGUGUAGCGGUGGAAUGCGCAGAUAUCAGGAGGAACACCGAUGGCGAAGGCAGGUCACUGGGCCGCAACUGACGCUGAGGAGCGAAAGCAUGGGGAGCGAACAGGAUUAGAUACCCUGGUAGUCCAUGCCGUAAACGUUGGGCACUAGGUGUGGGGCUCAUUCCACGAGUUCCGUGCCGCAGCAAACGCAUUAAGUGCCCCGCCUGGGGAGUACGGCCGCAAGGCUAAAACUCAAAGAAAUUGACGGGGGCCCGCACAAGCGGCGGAGCAUGCGGAUUAAUUCGAUGCAACGCGAAGAACCUUACCAAGGCUUGACAUGCACCGGAAAAACUCAGAGAUGGGUGCCCCGCAAGGUCGGUGUACAGGUGGUGCAUGGUUGUCGUCAGCUCGUGUC
rnacentral:rRNA from 1 species